CAGGAUACAGGAAAUUAUUUUUCCUGUCUUGCCUAGUGAGGAACCGUCGCUUUAUGGAGUGUUUUGAUCUUGUAUUUAGACACCAAAUCUCAGUCUGACCUCAGAAAACCACAAUGAUUUGUGCCAUCAGUUCUAUCCACACCUUACAGUAUUAAUUUAUUUAAAGAAGGGCUAAACAUAACUUUCUACCAUUCCUUUAUGAAGCACUUAAGAAGCCAACCAUAUACUGGACCACAUAUUCAAGCUGGUGUGAAAUUUUCUUUGGUGUAAGUUUUAUCUAGCCAGCCCAUAGUUUAUUGAUAAAAAAAUGUGAAUUCUUUCUUA